CUCAAACUGCGCAGCUUCAGUUACAAAAACAAAGCGCGGGAUUCUGGGCUGCCGUCCUCCUCAGAACAUAAGGAAGGGUCUUUCCAGCAGAAAGAGAACGACAAGAUUACAGACACGCACUGUCGCCGUUCACCGCCCACUUCACCAGUUAAUACAGGAGAGAGAAGAGUUUAUAAUAUAGAGACUUUUAUACAAAUAAAAGCUUUUAUACAAUUAUAUGAAUGGACAACAUGACAAAAACAUGACACAAACUUUAAAGAGCAAUUUGGUAACAUAAGACUACCUUUAUAAAGGGUUU
rnacentral:lncRNA from 1 species